AACAACAACUGGGAAGCCUUCUCAGCUACACUUCGGGGCACUGGUCCAGCCCCACGCAAAAUCCCUCGUUUCCCUUAGCGUGGUAAGACGGAGCCUGACCUGAGCUCCAACUGUCCUAUCUUUUUCAAAUGUUUCAAACUUACUGCCUUUGUUCAGCAGAACCACGGGCACGGUGAUGAUGGUGACAAGCGCAGCAGCACCCAGCAGUCCCAGGAGAACCUUCCACGGUGUCUGCAAGCCGAGCAGAUCAAGUCCAGUUAGAGGGAAGCGUGUGGCCCCAGUUUCCGUAGGAGGGUCGGGGCUGCUCCAGAGGCAGCAGGAUUUGCAGGAAGGAAGACUGUACACAGAGAAUAAAUAACUUGGCCAAGCCAUUCAGCUAGGAAGUUGUAGAUCCUAAAUUAAGAGUUCAAGGUCUUAAUGGCUACUCUAUGCGGCCUCUCAUAGUCUUUUCAAGGGUUUUGGAGAAGAAUAAAAGAUCAGGUAUGGCUUCUCCCUCCCCCAGCUCUCUAUUGUUCCCUAAAGGAUUAUUCAUUCGUUCAUUCAUUCCUACAUCCUCCCAUUUAUUCCAGUCAUCCACAGAUGUUUGAGUGGUUACAAUGUGCCAGCCUCCCUUCUAGGUACUGGAGAUAAAGUGGGACAAGAGAGGUGAGGUCUGGACCCUUGGCACUUUCACGAUAAAAUACACAGGUAAACAUUUGCCUUUAGGGCCCCCUG
rnacentral:antisense_RNA from 1 species